GACGAACGCUGGCGGCGUGCUUAACACAUGCAAGUCGAACGGUAAGGCCCUUCGGGGUACACGAGUGGCGAACGGGUGAGUAACACGUGGGUGAUCUGCCCUGCACUUCGGGAUAAGCCUGGGAAACUGGGUCUAAUACCGGAUAGGACUCCGGACUGCAUGGUCUGGGGUGGAAAGCUUUUGCGGGGUGGGGUGGGCCCGCGGCCUAUCAGCUUGUUGGUGGGGCGAUGGCCUACCAAGGCGACGACGGGUAGCCGGCCUGAGAGGGUGACCGGCCACACUGGGACUGAGAUACGGCCCAGACUCCUACGGGAGGCAGCAGUGGGGAAUAUUGCACAAUGGGCGCAAGCCUGAUGCAGCGACGCCGCGUGAGGGAUGACGGCCUUCGGGUUGUAAACCUCUUUCAGCAUCGACGAAGCGAAAGUGACGGUAGGUGCAGAAGAAGGACCGGCCAACUACGUGCCAGCCGCCGCCGUAA
rnacentral:rRNA from 1 species